AAGCUCGUAGUUGAAUUUCGGGUUAGUAGGUUGGUCAUGCCUCUGGUAUGUACUGGUCUCACUGAUUCCUCCUUCCUGAUGAACCGUAAUGCCAUUAAUUUGGUGUUGCGGGGAAUUUGGACUGUUACUUUGAAAAAAUUAGAGUGUUUAAAGCAGGCUCGCGCUUGAAUACAUUAGCAUGGAAUAAUGAAAUAGGACGUUGAUCCUAUUUUGUUGGUUUCUAGGAUUGACGUAAUGAUUAAUAGGGAUAGUUGGG
rnacentral:rRNA from 1 species